AUACUAUUAAAGAAUGAAUAAAGAAAAACUUUUGAAGAAAAGGAGCAAGAAGCCAAAAGAAAGGUACGAGGAAGGAUUACACUAGGAUGAGUCUAUAGUCAACAUCUUGAAAAGCAUCCCAACACUUUUUGAAAGCAACCCAUCAUAUCAUAGGCAAAGGCUACAUGUAGACUUAAAAGAUCACUCUUGUGAAGCUUUAACAAGGCAUUGAAGAAAUGAGAACGAAAAUGACUUCACAUAAACUUAUAAACAUUAAAGAAAGGAAAGAGAAAAGGAUAGCACGUGCCCCAAGUACCCAGAAAAUCUACUACCUCCUACUUGAACAUGGAUUGCAUCUAUCCAAGGAGCUGAAUGGCAUUUUCAUAAUUAUGAGGAAAAACCUUGGCAUUUCUAAAAUGGAUUUUCCAACGGUCAUAAAAAGCUUGACAUAUGAAAUGAACAUCAUAAGACCUCUAUAAAAUGCAGCAAGCUCAUCUUCAUCAAACACACAACACAUUGCAUUAAAAAGAUCAAAGAUCUUAAAGCUUUCAAGAAGCAACAUCCAUCCUCUCUUCAUACUUUCUACAAUCCUACAUUAGAUCUUUGUUAAUCUUUUGAGAAAGUAUUUAGAAUCAAUCACUCUUAUAUCACAUUGUAAUUUCCACGUGAGGUACACUUGGAAAUAUUUGAAAUCUGAUUGUAAGCUUGGUGAAGCUUAAGAAUACACAAGUUGUAAUCAUCAUCUGUUCGAGGUUGAUCUGUUUGAACAUUAGUGAAAUCUCACAAGGGUGUGAGGACUGGACGUAUCCAUCUUUGAGUGAACCAGUAUAAAAACAGUGUGUGUCAAUCUUAUAUUUCCGUUUCACUCUUUAGCUCAGUUCAAAUAUGAAGGUUUUGAAAAACCCAUCAUCGGGCUUGCCAUCCUCUGCAAGAGGAUAG
rnacentral:lncRNA from 1 species